GGGUACUUAGCUUGCUAAGUAUGCCGGCGACCGGCGCACGGGUGAGUAACGCGUACCGAACCUGCCCAUCACACAGGGAUAGGCUUGCGAAAGCAAGAUUAAUACCUGAUGGUCUCAGUUGUAUGCAUGUAUGAUUGAGUAAAGCCUUCGGGCGGUGAUGGAUGGCGGUGCGUCCCAUUAGGAAGUUGGUGGGGUAACGGCCCACCAAUCCUUCGAUGGGUAGGGGUUCUGAGAGGAAGGUCCCCCACAUUGGAACUGAGAUACGGUCCAAACUCCUACGGGAGGCAGCAGUGAGGAAUAUUGGUCAAUGGGCGAGAGCCUGAACCAGCCAAGUAGCGUGCGGGAUGAAGGCCCUUGUGGUCGUAAACCGCUUUUAUCAGUGAAUAAAGUGCACCACGUGUGGUGUCAUUGCAGGUAGCUGAAGAAAAAGGACCGGCUAAUUCCGUGCCAGCAGCCGCGGUAAUACGGAAGGUCCGGGCGUUAUCCGGAAUUAUUGGGUUUAAAGGGAGCGCAGGCGGGAGUGUAAGUCAGCUGUUAAAUAUCAGGGCCCAACUCUGUUAUGCAGUUGAAACUAUAUUUCUUGAGUACGCACAGGGAUGGCGGAAUUCAGGGUGUAGCGGUGAAAUGCUUAGAUAUCCUGAAGAACUCCGAUCGCGAAGGCGGCCAUCCGGAGCGUAACUGACGCUGAGGCUCGAAGGUGCGGGUAUCGAACAGGAUUAGAUACCCUGGUAGUCCGCACGGUAAACGAUGAAUACUCGCAGUUCGGCCGUUUAGGUUGAGUUGUCCAGCGA
rnacentral:rRNA from 1 species